UACGGGAGGCAGCAGUGGGGAAUUUUGGACAAUGGGCGAAAGCCUGAUCCAGCAAUGCCGCGUGCAGGACGAAGGCCUUCGGGUUGUAAACUGCUUUUGUACGGAACGAAACGGCCUCUUCUAAUAAAGGGGGUUAAUGACGGUACCGUAAGAAUAAGCACCGGCUAACUACGUG
rnacentral:rRNA from 1 species